rnacentral:rRNA from 1 species
UACGUAGGGACCGAGCGUUGUCCGGAUUCAUUGGGCGUAAAGAGCUCGUAGGCGGCUGCUCAAGUCGAAUGUGAAAACUCGAGGCUCAACCUCGAGCCUGCAUUCGAUACCGGGCGGCUAGAGUCUGGUAGGGGGAUCUGGAAUUCCUGGUGUAGCGGUGGAAUGCGCAGAUAUCAGGAGGAACACCGGUGGCGAAGGCGGGGAUCCUGGGCCAGUACUGACGCUGAGGAGCGAAAGCGUGGGGGAGCAAACAGG